rnacentral:tRNA from 1 species
ACCUGGCUGGCUUAGUCUGUAGAGCAUGAGACUCUUGAUCUCGGAGUUGUGAGUUUGAGCCCCACGUUGGGUG